rnacentral:rRNA from 1 species
UACCCAACAGCUAGCCCCCUCCCCUAAUAACAACAUCCCCUCAUUAAUAACCCCAAACAAACUAACAAAUAUAAAACAAACCAUUUUUCCUCCUGAGUAUGGGCGACAGAAAAGGACCUACGGAGCAAUAGAAAAAGUACCGCAAGGGAACGCUGAAAGAGAGAUGAAACAGCUCAGUAAAGUUUAAAAAUGCAGAGACUCCCCCUCGUACCUUUUGCAUCAUGAUUUAGCCAGUGUCCCCCAAGCAAAAUGCAUUUUAGUUUGGCCCCCCGAAACUAAGUGAGCUACCCCAAGACAGCCUAAUCUAUAGGGCAAACCCGUCUCUGUGGCAAAAGAGUGGGACGAUCUUUGGGUAGAGGUGAUAAAUCUACCGAACUUAGUUAUAGCUGGUUGCCCGAGAAAUGAAUAGAAGUUCAGCCUCGACGCUUCUCCCCUCACUCAGAACCUUAUCUUAAUAGACAAGCCAGAGAAGCAGCGAGCGUUAGUCAAAGGAGGUACAGCUCCUUUGAAACAAGACACAACUUUUGAAGAAGGGUAAAGAUCAUAGUUAAUUAAAGGUAUAAUGUUUUGGUGGGCCUAAAAGCAGCCAUCCACAUAGAAAGCGUUAAAGCUCAGACAUAUUUAUAUACUCCUACUAUACCGAUUUUAUAUCUUAUCCCUCUAAAAAUACCGGGCCGUCCCAUGCCCCCAUGGGAGCGAUUAUGCUAGAAUGAGUAAUAAGAGAGCCCGACUCUCUCCUGACACAUGUGUAAGUCGGAAUGGACCCCCCACCGACUCAUAACGGCCCCAAUAAACAGAGGGUACUGAGCAUAAAAAAAGUCAACAAGAAAAGCCUCCAAAACUUAACCGUUAACCUUACACAAGAGUGUCCUCAAGGAAAGACUAAAAGAAAGAGAAGGAACUCGGCAAACACAUAAAGCCUCGCCUGUUUACCAAAAACAUCGCCUCUUGCAAAAGUAAAGAAUAAGAGGUCCUGCCUGCCCAGUGACUAUAUGUUCAACGGCCGCGGUAUUUUGACCGUGCAAAGGUAGCGCAAUCACUUGUCUUUUAAAUAAAGACCGGUAUGAAUGGCAAGACGAGGGCUUGACUGUCUCCUUUUUCAUGUCAAUGAAAUUGAUCUCCCCGUGCAGAAGCGGGGACACCAACAUAAGACGAGAAGACCCUAUGGAGCUUCAGACACGAAAGCAGCCUAUGUCAAUUACUCUGGCACAACAGAAUGAACUAAAUAGGCCUGCCCGAAUGUCUUUGGUUGGGGCGACCGCGGGGAAAUAAAUAACCCCCAUGUGGAAUGGGAGCACCAUCCUCCUAAAACUAAGAGUGACAACUCUAAGUAACAGAAAUUCUGACCAGCUAGAUCCGGCCAUGCCGAUCAACGGACCGAGUUACCCUAGGGAUAACAGCGCAAUCCUCUUUUAGAGCCCAUAUCGACAAGGGGGUUUACGACCUCGAUGUUGGAUCAGGACAUCCUAAUGGUGUAGCCGCUAUUAAGGGUUCGUUUGUUCAACGAUUAAAGUCCUACGUGAUCUGAGUUCAGACCGGAGCAAUCCAGGUCAGUUUCUAUCUAUGAUGCGCCCUUUUCUAGUACGAAAGGACCGAAAAGAGGAGGCCCAUGCCCCAGGCACGCCUCUCCCAUCACCCAACGAAACCAACUAAAAUGGGCAACUGGGAGCUACGCCCCGGCCUAAGAAAAGGGCU